GAGUACGCGUGAAAUGCGUCGAGGAAUUUCGUCUAAUGAGCGUGAAACGAAGGGGUGUCGUUCAAACGCUUUUUCUUACGGUACUCCCUCUUCUUCGGAACCAGAGAAGUCUUUGGCCGAGAGUGUGUUGUCAGUACGGCAAAUAUGUUGACAGGUUUCCGAAUACUGGCAGAAAACGAACAAUGCAAAUUAUACGAAUUACGAACAUGUUUAAAGAAGAUCAAGAUAUUUAAAUGAAAAGUAACCAAAUCCUGUUACAUUCAGAAAGAAACAUUGAAGUUUUAUCUAUAUAACACAUUGUUAAAUAUAGAAAUAUUUUUCAUGUCUCUCUUAAAGACG